rnacentral:tRNA from 1 species
UCCGGUUUAGCUCAGUUGGUAGAGUACCUAGCUGUUAACUAGGGAGUCCCUGGUUCGAGUCCAGGAAUCGGAGCCA